GCGCUUGGACCUGUAUCCCAGAAUGCAUUGCAUCGGCUGGGGCUCUCCUGUCAAAAGAAUUAAUCAGUUUGUCUUCCCAAUGAGUCCUCGCUCUUUUAAGGCAAGUGGUUUUGGAGAGCCACAUAGUUUAAUUCUACAAUUGGGGGAAUGCAGGAAACAUCCUUGAAUGCAGGCAUUACAGAAUAUACAAACAGGCUCAAAACCUUCUUUUUAGAUUCCGGUCCCUGACGUACAUCCAGUUUGGGAUGAAUGCUGUGAGAAAAUCAUGUUCUCGGGUUAGUUACACUGAGGCAGGUAUCCUGACAACAUCCAGUUCAAGGCAAGAACCAAUCCUAAAUGGGGCAGCCUAACUCACACUGGCCCAUGUUAGAGUCAACAGUUAACCUAGUAUGUACAUCUUUGGGAUGUAGG